rnacentral:rRNA from 1 species
AGUACGUGGACGUAGACCCGAAACCGGGUGAUCUACCCCUGUCCAGGGUGAAGGUGCGGUAACACGCACUGGAGGCCCGAACCCACGCAUGUUGAAAAAUGCGGGGAUGAGGUGGGGGUAGCGGAGAAAUUCCAAUCGAACCCGGAGAUAGCUGGUUCUCCCCGAAAUAGCUUUAGGGCUAGCCUCGGAAAGAAGAAUCGUGGAGGUAGAGCACUGAUUGGGUGCGGGGCCCGCAAGGGUUACCAAGCUCAGUCAAACUCCGAAUGCCAUAGAUUUAGUUCCGGGAGUCAGACAGUGAGUGCUAAGAUCCAUUGUCGAAAGGGAAACAGCCCAGACCAUCAGCUAAGGUCCCCAAGUGUGUGUUAAGUGGGAAAGGAUGUGGAGUUGCACAGACAACCAGGAUGUUGGCUUAGAAGCAGCCACCAUUGAAAGAGUGCGUAAUAGCUCACUGGUCGAGUGACUCUGCGCCGAAAAUGUAACGGGGCUAAACACACCACCGAAGCUAUGGCUUGAUGCUUGCAUCAGGGGUAGGGGAGCGUUGAAUGCGGGUUGAAGGUGUACCGUAAGGAGCGCUGGACUGCAUUCAAGUGAGAAUGCCGGUAUGAGUAACGAAAAGAUCUGUGAGAAUCAGAUCCGCCGAAAGCCUAAGGGUUCCUGAGGAAGGUUCGUCCGCUCAGGGUAAGUCGGGACCUAAGGCGAGGCCGAUAGGCGUAGUCGAAGGACAACAGGUCGAAAUUCCUGUACCACCGUAAUCCGUUAUGAGCGAUGGGGUGACGCAGUAGGGUAGUGACGCGGACGGAUGGAUGUCCGUCUAAGCAGUGAGGCUGGUGUGUAGGCAAAUCCGCACAUCGUUAAGGCUGGGCUGUGAUGGGGAGCGAAAAUUAUAGUAGCGAAGGUCAUGAUCU